rnacentral:rRNA from 1 species
GACGAACGCUGGCGGCGUGCCUAAUACAUGCAAGUUGAGCGCUGAAGGUUGGUACUUGUACCAACUGGAUGAGCAGCGAACGGGUGAGUAACGCGUGGGGAAUCUGCCUUUGAGCGGGGGACAACAUUUGGAAGCGAAUGCUAAUACCGCAUAAAAACUUUAAACACAAGUUUUAAGUUUGAAAGAUGCAAUUGCAUCACUCAAAGAUGAUCCCGCGUUGUAUUAGCUAGUUGGUGAGGUAAAGGCUCACCAAGGCGAUGAUACAUAGCCGACCUGAGAGGGUGAUCGGCCACAUUGGGACUGAGACACGGCCCAAACUCCUACGGGAGACAGCAGUAGGGAAGCUUCGGCAAUGGACGAAAGUCUGACCGAGCAACGCCGCGUGAGUGAAGAAGGUUGUCGGAUCGUAAAACUCUGUUGGUAGAGAAGAACGUUGGUGAGAGUGGAAAGCUCAUCAAGUGACGGUAACUACCCAGAAAGGGACGGCUAACUACGUG